rnacentral:rRNA from 1 species
CCCUUAGACGUUCUGGGCCGCACGCGCGCUACACUGACCAGUGCAACAAGCAUCCGUCCUUGGCCGACAGGCUCGGGCAAUCUUUGAACGCUGGUCGUGAUGGGGAUAGACUUUUGCAAUUUUUGGUCUUCAACGAGGAAUUCCUAGUAAGCGCAAGUCAUCAGCUUGCGUUGAUUACGUCCCUGCCCUUUGUACACACCGCCCGUCGCUUGUACCGAUUGGAUGGUCCGGUGAAAUCUUCGGAUAGCUGGUAGUUGGCUUGCCAUCUGCUGCUAAAAGUUGCUUAAACCUUAUCAUCUAGAGGAACAAGAANUCGUAACA